UACGUAGGUGGCAAGCGUUGUCCGGAAUUACUGGGUGUAAAGGGAGCGUAGGCGGGAAGACAAGUUGAAUGUUUAAACUAUCGGCUUAACCGGUAGUCGCGUUCAAAACUGUUUUUCUUGAGUGAAGUAGAGGCAGGCGGAAUUCCUAGUGUAGCGGUGAAAUGCGUAGAUAUUAGGAGGAACACCAGUGGCGAAGGCGGCCUGCUGGGCUUUAACUGACGCUGAGGCUCGAAAGCGUGGGUAGCAAACAGGAUUAGAUACCCUGGUAGUCCACGCUGUAAACGAUGAUUACUAGGUGUGGGGGGACUGACCCCUUCCGUGCCGCAGUUAACACAAUAAGUAAUCCACCUGGGGAGUACGGCCGCAAGGUUGAA
rnacentral:rRNA from 1 species